rnacentral:rRNA from 1 species
UAAGGAAUAUUGGUCAAUGGACGCAAGUCUGAACCAGCCAUGCCGCGUGAAGGAUGAAGGUCCUCUGGAUUGUAAACUUCUUUUAUAUGGGACGAAACCCGGGUAUUCCUACCCGAUUGACGGUACCAUAGGAAUAAGCACCGGCUAACUCCGUG